AGCAGCCGCGGUAAUUCCAGCUCCAAUAGCGUAUAUUAAAGUUGCUGCAGUUAAAAGCUCGUAGUUGAAUUUCGGGACCAUCAUGUUGGUCGUGCCUAGGUACGUACUGGCAUUGUUGGUUUCUCCCUUCUGACGAACCAUGAUGUCAUUUAUUUGGUGUCGUGGGGAAUCAGGACUGUUACUUUGAAAAAUUAGAGUGUUUAAAGCAGGCUCACGCUUGAAUACAUUAGCAUGGAAUAAUGAAAUAGGACGUUUGAUUCUAUUUUGUUGGUUUCUAGGAUCGACGUAAUGAUUAAUAGGGAUAGUUGGGGGCAUUAGUAUUCAAUUGUCAGAGGUGAAAUUCUUGGAUUUUAUUGAAGACUAACUACUGCGAAAGCAUUUGCCAAGGAUGUUUUCAUUAAUCAAGAACGAAAGUUAGGGAUCGAAGACGAUCAGAUACC
rnacentral:misc_RNA from 1 species